GACGAGGGGCACAAACGUUAUUCGGAUUUACUGGGCUUAAAGCGUGCGUAGGCGGCUUGGCAAGUUGGGUGUGAAAUCCCUCGGCUCAACCGAGGAACUGCGCCCAAAACUACCGUGCUCGAGGAAGAUAGAGGUGAGCGGAACUUACGGUGGAGCGGUGAAAUGCGUUGAUAUCGUAAGGAACACCCGUGGCGAAAGCGGCUCACUGGGUCUUCUCUGACGCUGAUGCACGAAAGCUAGGGGAGCAAACGGG
rnacentral:rRNA from 1 species